AAGUCGUAACAAGGUUUCCGUAGGUGAACCUGCGGAAGGAUCAUUAACACGUAUCCAAACGUUAAAACUCCCCCCCGUGAACCUUCAUCCUGCUCUUGUAACCCGCGUAGUUCGCAAUCUCUGUGAAGCUCAAUGGGUAAAAAAACCGAACAACUGUUAACAAUGGAUAUCUUGGUUCUC
rnacentral:misc_RNA from 1 species